AUGCGCUCCAGGGGGCUGACGACCGCCAAGGUGGUUGCUGAUUUUGUCAGGCGCCGUUUGCCUCCUCUGAAGAAGCGGAACCGGGCCGCCUGGACAUAUACGGAUGUGAAUGUCAUCGGUCGGACCCACUUCGGCCCAAAUAGCGUCCUUAGCGACGUGGCCAUGCUGAAGGUGGUGAAGAAGAUCCUGGUGGAUGAUUGCAGCUCCUUGGCCCCUCCAGAGGGAGUGGCGCCCCUGGCUGAGGAUCGCAUUCGGUUGGAGAUUCUCCACUACCUCCCUCUCUGCGACUCCAAAGGUGUCUGCCAAGGUUCAUCAGGGACGAUUCAGAUUGGGCAGCCGACUAGGACGACCGGGGAGGACUUCCUGAAUCGUAGUCCCGACAAAUGCUGCAACUACCGCCCAAUUUUUCCACCAGCUCCUUUUGGGGUUUCAUUUCUCGCCGCCAGUGCUUUUGAGAACAACCUUCAUGAAUUUCUGACCUAG
rnacentral:rRNA from 1 species